rnacentral:rRNA from 1 species
ACUCAAAGGAAUAGACGGGGGCCCGCACAAGCAGCGGAGCAUGUGGUUUAAUUCGACGCAACGCGAAGAACCUUACCUGGGCUUGACAUGUUCGUGACCGGUGUGGAAACACACCUUUCCUUCGGGACACGAUCACAGGUGGUGCAUGGCUGUCGUCAGCUCGUGUCGUGAGAUGUUGGGUUAAGUCCCGCAACGAGCGCAACCCUCGUCGCAUGUUGCCAGCAUUAAGUUGGGGACUCAUGCGAGACUGCCGGUGACAAACCGGAGGAAGGUGGGGAUGACGUCAAGUCAUCAUGCCCCUUAUGUCCAGGGCUACACACGUGCUACAUUGGCGCAUACAAAGGGUUGCAAUACCGUGAGGUGGAGCGAAUCCCAUAAAGUGCGUCUCGGUUCGGAUUGGAGGCUGAAACCUGCCUCCAUGAAGGCGGAGUUGCUAGUAAUCGUGGAUCAGCAAUGCCACGGUGAAUACGUUCCCGGGCCUUGUACACACCGCCCGU